rnacentral:rRNA from 1 species
GUCUGUUUGAAGUUAUAAAGAGUUUAACCUGCCCCCUGAUAAGUAGUUAAAGGGCCGCGGUAUUAUGACCGUGCAAAGGUAGCAUAAUCAUUAGAUUUUUAAUUGGAAUCUUGUAUGAAUGGUUGGACAAAAGAAAUUCUGUCUUUAAAAUAAAUUUUGAAUUUAACUUUUAAGUGAAAAGGCUUAAAUAUUCUAGAGGGACGAUAAGACCCUAUAAAACUUUACAUUAUGAUUAUAUUUAAUUGAAUUUAGAUAUAAAAGUUUAAUUUAUUUAUUUGUUAUGUUGGGGAGACAUGAGUAAAAUUAAUUCUAUCUGCUUGAAUUUUUAAACAAAAAUUUAUGAGCUAAAGAUCCUUAAUAAAGAUUAAAAAAUUAAGUUACUUUAGGGAUAACAGCGUUAUUUCUUUAGAGAGUUCUUAUCGAGAAAGAAGAUUGCGACCUCGAUGUUGAAUUAAAAUACCUAUAUAGUGCAGUAGCUAUAUUAGGAGGUCUGUUCGACCUUUAAAAUUUUACAUGAUUUGAGUUCAAACCGGUGUGAG